rfam:Gossypium hirsutum cultivar TM-1 chromosome 19, whole genome shotgun sequence
AUUCCAUGAUGAGGGUACUUCUGGAAUAAUUCUUUGUACCUUCCCAUGCCUCAUACAAGGACUCGUCAUCCAUUUUUUGGAAAGUAGUGACCUCAUUCCUCAACAU